rnacentral:rRNA from 2 species
AAAUUGAAGAGUUUGAUCAUGGCUCAGAUUGAACGCUGGCGGCAGGCCUAACACAUGCAAGUCGAACGGUAGCACAGAGAGCUUGCUCUCGGGUGACGAGUGGCGGACGGGUGAGUAAUGUCUGGGAAACUGCCCGAUGGAGGGGGAUAACUACUGGAAACGGUAGCUAAUACCGCAUAACGUCGCAAGACCAAAGUGGGGGACCUUCGGGCCUCACACCAUCGGAUGUGCCCAGAUGGGAUUAGCUAGUAGGUGGGGUAACGGCUCACCUAGGCGACGAUCCCUAGCUGGUCUGAGAGGAUGACCAGCCACACUGGAACUGAGACACGGUCCAGACUCCUACGGGAGGCAGCAGUGGGGAAUAUUGCACAAUGGGCGCAAGCCUGAUGCAGCCAUGCCGCGUGUAUGAAGAAGGCCUUCGGGUUGUAAAGUACUUUCAGCGAGGAGGAAGGCGUUGUGGUUAAUAACCACAGCGAUUGACGUUACCCGCAGAAGAAGCACCGGCUAACUCCGUGCCAGCAGCCGCGGUAAUACGGAGGGUGCAAGCGUUAAUCGGAAUUACUGGGCGUAAAGCGCACGCAGGCGGUUUGUUAAGUCAGAUGUGAAAUCCCCGGGCUCAACCUGGGAACUGCAUUUGAAACUGGCAAGCUUGAGUCU